rnacentral:rRNA from 1 species
AAAAGACCUAGCAAUAGGUAUGCUUAGGGAGGAGCUUGCGUCACAUUAGUUAGUUGGUGGGGUAAAGGCCUACCAAGACUAUGAUGUGUAGCCGGGCUGAGAGGUUGAACGGCCACAUUGGGACUGAGACACGGCCCAAACUCCUACGGGAGGCAGCAGUAGGGAAUUUUCGGCAAUGGAGGAAACUCUGACCGAGCAACGCCGCGUGAACGAUGAAGUAUUUCGGUACGUAAAGUUCUUUUAUUAGGGAAGAAUAAAUGAUGGAAAAAUCAUUCUGACGGUACCUAAUGAAUAAGCCCCGGCUAACUAUGUGCCAGCAGCCGCGGUAAUACAUAGGGGGCAAGCGUUAUCCGGAAUUAUUGGGCGUAAAGGGUGCGUAGGCGGUUAAAUAAGUUUAUGGUCUAAGUGCAAUGCUCAACAUUGUGAUGCUAUAAAAACUGUUUAGCUAGAGUAAGAUAGAGGCAAGUGGAAUUCCAUGUGUAGUGGUAAAAUGCGUAAAUAUAUGGAGGAACACCAGUAGCGAAGGCGGCUUGCUGGGUCUUUACUGACGCUGAGGCACGAAAGCGUGGGGAGCAAACAGGAUUAGAUACCCUGGUAGUCCACGCCGUAAACGAUGAGUACUAAACGUUGGGUAAAACCAGUGUUGAAGUUAACACAUUAAGUACUCCGCCUGAGUAGUACGUACGCAAGUAUGAAACUUAAAGGAAUUGACGGGACUCCGCACAAGCGGUGGAUCAUGUUGUUUAAUUCGAAGGUACCCGAAAAACCUCACCAGGUCUUGACAUGCUUCUGCAAAGCUGUAGAAACACAGUGGAGGUUAUCAGUUGCACAGGUGGUGCAUGGUUGUCGUCAGCUCGUGUCGUGAGAUGUUGGGUUAAGUCCCGCAACGAGCGCAACCCUUAUUGUUAGUUACCAGCACGUAAUGGUGGGGACUUUAGCAAGACUGCCAGUGAUAAAUUGGAGGAAGGUGGGGACGACGUCAAAUCAUCAUGCCCCUUAUGACCUGGGCUACAAACGUGAUACAAUGGCUGUUACAAAGGGUAGCUGAAGCGCAAGUUUUUGGCGAAUCUCAAAAAAACAGUCUCAGUUCGGAUUGAAGUCUGCAACUCGACUUCAUGAAGUUGGAAUCGCUAGUAAUCGCGAAUCAGCAUGUCGCGGUGAAUACGUUCUCGGGGUUUGUACACACCGCCCGUCAAACCACGAAA